GGGCAUCACACCACCACAUCACUCUGUUCCUCUGACCGUCCACAGUGAAAGAUAAUAGAGUCCAACGAUUUAGCCGUGCCUCGAUCCUUUAUAAAGCUUCUCUCGUGCUUGUGAUGGUGUGAACCAUAGGUGGCCUUCCCAAGCUGCUCCUCUCUCAUCUCUACAGCCAGCAAGCCCGAAGCAGCAGCCAGCAGGAGUCCCUCGUCGGUCGACCCGGUGAUCUCCGCCAUCAUCCCAAGCUCUCCUUACCUGCCUCAUAGCAUACAGUCGCUAAAUCAAGGUGACCUCUCAUAGUCUGGUGUUUCUUUUUGAGGAUGAAUUGAUGGUUCUUUGCAUUGGCCCGUUCUUCUUUACUCUUUCUCUUUUAUUGUUUGGCUAUGUGCAAAGAUGCUUUUCCAGAUUAUGUAGCAGCCUGGAAGCCAUGCAUUUCCAGACAUUAGUGUUUGCUACACUAGCUUAGAGAACCCAACUCUUAACUACCGAAUCCAGCCUGGACCGUGAAGCACGAUCAUGGCGUACUCUGUAGUUGGGCUGAGCACUUAAUCCAUAUGUUUAGAUCAAGUCUGCCCGUGCAAGUUCUUAACUAGGUCCACGGAUGUUAGUUCGGUACAUUAGCACAUAACUCUACAAUAGUAACAGGCUUUUUUUAGCUUAAAUGGAACAGGCUUUCUUAUAAUGCGUGGUAAAUAAUAGAUCGACAUAUUUCUUAGUAAGCCUAGUAUGGUCUCAAGGCUGGACAAAAUGACUCAUGUGACUUUUAAAUAAGUUUUUACCAAAAUGGUUACCAAUAAGAUGAGAGGUAAAUGUAUGUAUAAAAACUUGCUAAGAUUUUAGCACACCAACAUAAUAAUAGGCAUGCGGUCACAGGCUAAUCUGCUAGAAUUUCUAUGCCCCCUUUGCAACGCACGGACAAUUAUUUAGUAGAUAAUUAAUUUGAGAUUAUGAAGAGGGCGAUCCAAUUUGUAAUUAGUAUAUAUAUACAUAUUAUAUAUAUAUAUAUAUAUAUAUAUAUUUGAUACUCAACUUAAUUUGGGGCUAUUAAUUUGUCGCAAAUAGUAUAUCUUGUAUGUAUAUCUUUUUUCAUCAAUAAGUUUGUACAAUACUAGAAGGAUGUCGUGCAUACCAUAAAGAAAAAUAUAAGGGUGUCACGCAUUAAUUACCGAAGAUAUAUGGUAAUAAAAAGAGAAAGAUUUGUUUCUAUAUAUAUGAACCAUGGAUCAGAAGGCUGCAAGUCAAACGAAGACACAUCCUAUCGUUCUUGGAUCAGAUCAAAUAUUGCAGUCGUGGUCGAUCGGCUGCAACAUGGGAAAGUGCACUAAGCAAGUUCACGCCCUGUUGCUACUUCUUCUCGUAUGCUUCGCUAUUCACGGGCAGUUUGAAGUCGUCGGUGUCAAUGGCGAGCGUAUUCCUCCGUGGUGCAUAAAGAGUGCAACUAUACCAAUCUGCAACCCAGAUAAAUAUAGAUGCUAUUGUUGUGUAGGCAAUUGGCAAUGCUACAAAACAAUGGACGAGUGCAGAGCCAAGUGUGCAUAUUUACCUCCCUCCUCUUCCUCUGUACUUCCAUGAAACUGGGAUCUUAUCAUGAGCUGGAAGAAAAAUGAAUAAGAUCCUGGCAAUAAACAAUUUGCUAUGAAUUUAUUUGGCAAUUAUCGUUUGCAGUUUUUGGUUGCCGAAACAUAUACUUUGCCUUUUUCUUCCUUCCCUCUUUUCUCCUCCGUUUCCCUUGUUUGAGAAUUCCAUGUUGUACUCCAUGCAACAUAUAUAUUGUUCUGUUAGAAAAUACGCUAGAUCGCAAAUUAACUGAGUAUAUUAAAACAGAAUUGCUAUUUCACAUCUAGAUGUAAUAUAUUUAUCUCACAUCUAAAUGCAGUACCAUUCGAUCUGUUUCUGCUUCAUUUUUCAUGCGAGCUUCUGAUCCCUGCCCAGCGCUGGUGUGGCUCGCGUCGGCCCAUUUGUCGUCGUUGUUUCACGUUUUUUUGUUGUGGCCCGUUGUUAUACUUCGGCCUUGGGCCCAUUUCCGCUUGUUUGUCCCGAGGAGAGGCAGGGCGUUCUUCAGCCUGUUCCACUUCUCACUCCAUUCCUCUUUCUCCCAUCCAUCUGCGAGCGACGGGAGCAUGAAGGAGAAGGCGGCCGGCCAUGUCGAUCUGGGAGAAGAGAUGGAAGGGCAGUGGGGUGAGGUGAGUACAGAAGAGGAGACGAGGUGAGUACAGGAGAGCAAGAAGGAGAAGGCAGCCAGGUCGAUCUGGGAGAAGAGAUGGACAGGAGCACGAAGGCGAAGGCAGCCAGGUCAAUCUGCUUGUUCUUUUUUUUUUCAUGUUUGACCACAUCUAGAAAUGUAGUUGUAGAUUUGUGUGUUAGAUUGGAUUUUAGUAGGAGGAAGAGGAGGUGAUGGAGGUGAAUUCCGUUAUGAUUUUAUUCUGCAAUCCAGCGAUAUGGUUUGUACUACAGCCUCGGGAAUACUAAUGUACAUCUAGUAAUGUAGUACUAGUAGAUUAUAUACUGAUGUUCAUGUAGAAAGGUAGCUGUAGUUUGUUUUUGGUUUCUGCUCCAUUGUUGUGCCCGUCGUUUUUGUAGGGGUGUAAAAAGGUCUUUUUUUUUACCAACAGAUCCAAGUCAGGCAUCAAUUUUCCCAGGUUUAGAUUAGAGGAUUGCGAAAUUUAAAAAAAAAAAUAGGUCAGGGGAUGUUAUUUUUUUAUUUCUGCUUCGAAGAAAAAUGACUUCCAAAAUCAAGUCCAAAUUUCUUGGAGUACUGAUCAUAUACAG